CAUGAGCUUAUGGUAACAUUGUAAACAGUGACUCGUGUAGUGUAGAGAUUGUCCAGUCAACUGAUGGUAGCGUGGACUGUCCAGGCGAUACGUACUUAGGUAUCGUCAUGAGCUAAUGGUAACAUGUAAACAGUGACUCGUGUAGUGUAGAGAUUGUCCAGUCAACUGAUGGUAGCGUGGACUGUCCAGGCGAUACGUACUUAGGUAUCGUCAUGAGCUAAUGGUAACAUGUAAACAGUGACUCGUGUAGUGUAGAGAUUGUCCAGUCAACUGAUGGUAGCGUGGACUGUCCAGGCGAUACGUACUUAGGUAUCGUCAUGAGCUAAUGGUAACAUGUAAACAGUGACUCGUGUAGUGUAGAGAUUGUCCAGUCAACUGAUGGUAGCGUGGACUGUCCAGGCGAUACGUACUUAGGUAUCGUCAUGAGCUAAUGGUAACAUGUAAACAGUGACUCGUGUAGUGUAGAGAUUGUCCAGUCAACUGAUGGUAGCGUGGACUGUCCAGGCGAUACGUACUUAGGUAUCGUCAUGAGCUAAUGGUAACAUGUAAACAGUGACUCGUGUAGUGUAGAGAUUGUCCAG